UUGCUCGAGUACACACUUUCAGUUAAAGUUCUCCUUACACUUUGCUAUAUUUUAAGAAGUAUAAACUGCAGCAGAUCUUGACUAGUUUGAAGUGUAUGAAGAUUCAGCACUAACGUUGAGUGAAAUUUGGGUUCGAAAGGAAAAGCUUAAUGCGAAAGUUAAAGAAGAAUUAUUGGAUUUGUUGCUCGUACAAAGACAAUGUGCAAGGUGCAAUAUACUUUGAGUUCAUAAAUGAGAUUAGAAGGUUUGUGGACCUUCAGUCAUGGCCAUUUUAAGUUCCUUGAACAUGCUGAUAGAUCUCAGACAACAGCAGCAGCUACCACAGAUAGAGAAUGUCAGAGUGGUAAUAACUGAUAGGUGUUGAUAUCCAGGAAAACAGUAAAAUUCUGUUGCUAUGUGCUACCACUCAAGCUAGGAAAUUUAUCCCACCUGAGGAGUAAUGUGGUUGGUUGCUGUAAUUCAUCGUGAAAAAUUACGUGUACUUCUUAGAAAAGAGCACUGCACGAACAUCCUUGAGCCAAUGCUGGAUUUGUCAAUGACAUAAGAGGGACUUCCACCAACGUUCUGACUGCUCCAUCCUUAUCUUCAAGACUUGCGCUCAUACAGCUUUACUACCUCAGUGCUUCUUAUGCUGCUAAGCUGCUACACAACUUUUCUUGCUUCACUGGCGAGUUGGAUCACUUCAGUUGCUGUGACACACCUACAGACACUAACCACGGGAUUAUGGCCAGGUAAUGCAGAAGAGAGGUCGAGAAGAUGGAC